AGCAAUCUCAUGCACUUGAGAGCUUGUCAGCUUUACCUCGCUGCCGAAUGCGACGUAAACGACUGAUUCUGGCUUUUGUUUCGCUAGCCACUGCAAGAUGCUGCGCCACCUGCUUUCGCUUUCUGCAUCGGUUUCUGAUUCCGGAGGUGAGGGAGGGAAGAAUCCUACGGGAAUCACUGGUCUUUUGUGUAGCUUCCCGAGAAGGUGAAGCCAAUCUGUUUCGAACUCUGGGCAGCUCCGAACAGCUAUCAAUUGGCAAUCUUCCAAGGUCCUACCGAACCGAUAAGUUUCUGACACACCGGAGGCGUCCGGCAGAACGCAGGGCUUGAAGAGCUCGCGAGCCUCGUAGGGCUUGUAAAACAUGGUGGACUCGAAAGGAACCCACUCAGGCAGCUCCAUGAACUGCUCAGGCGUCGCCCUCACGCCUUCACAGCCCAUUAACGAUGCGGACGGCCCAAUGAAGCUCAGCACCGCGGCGUUGAAGAUGCUAAGAUGGGCGCACGGCACGCCGAACUCGGCGGCCACUCGGGGCGCCCAGUAGGCGGCGUAGUCGAAGACGAUCCAAUCGGGCACGCGGGGCAACGUUUGCCGGAGGAAGCUGGAUAACUGGUGUACCUGCAGAUAAUAAAUGAUAAGGAAAACGAUGGAAUAGUAUUUGUACCUGCAGAUACACCAGUAAACAUAUAAAUGUGCAUGUCGUAUAGAUUGACGAACAUGUGUCUUUGAAUGUAGAUAGAGCAUAUAUUUCUUGACUGACAAAGACAAGCAACAAGCUGAGCUGCUGAACUUAAUUUUACAGUAAGCAAUACUAAGCAAAAUGAAGCACAAACCACAAUAAUAAUAUCACAUAAACUGACAAAAGCUCAGUAACAGAGAAAUUAGACUCAAAGGGCGGAUUAUAUUUGCCAUGAUCUCUCCAAAAGCAAAUCGAGCUUUGCCAUCCUCCUGCAUGUGGUCUAACUAUUCUGGUAGAAUAUGUGUUCAUUUGACUCACCAAAUAGUUUGCUUGACACAAAAAAAUUACAGGACCCUUGUAAUAGAAGUCAACAGUAUAAACCACUAAGUUAAUUCAUUCAAUCCACAAUAGUGGGUGGGAUGUCAUACCAUGAGGAAAACGAUGGAAUGAUCGUAUAGUGGGUGGGAUGUCAUACCAUGAGGAAGUCUAACGUAAUGAGAAAGUGAUUGCUAUUAAUUAUCAACAUAACAAAUAAAACAGACGAUGUAACAGCAGGAUUAGGGCUUCAUUGGGAGAAGUAUUAUUGGUACAAAUUAACCAGUGAACAGCAUGACUGAAUAGCAAACAUAUUGUAAUUCAUUGCUGUCCAGCUUUAUAAUUUCCUUUGCAUGUCCAAGGCCAACCACCAGCAUUUGCCUCUAAAUUCAUAAAUGCAUUUGGUCCCAAUGUGCCUGUUAUUCACUCUCCAGAUUGCACUACAUGUAAAUAAAAAUUGGUAAUUAGUUCUUAAAAGUGUCUCUGAUUUUAUAAUAAGAUUCAGAAGCAAAUGAAAGGGCAACUUUAAUCACUGUGUACACUGUCCAACGAAAAAUGAUCUAUUUCUGUAUAAAAAAAAGAAGACUAUUCUCUCCCGGUCCUUCCUUCCCUCCCUCUGAUGAUACAAGGACAAUCAAAAGAAUGGCUAAUUGGCCAUGACUGUCCUUAAAGGUGAGGCUCUUAAGUCUACCACAUGAUGGAUGCAUGCACAAUUGCAGGCACACAUUCAACGUCAAAGAGAGGAUGUUGAGAAAUCAUUUGACUGAUCUAGAGAGAUCUUAGAUAGGCCUAGGGGCUAUUUUCUAAAGUGAAACUAAAAUCAUGUGUUGGGCAUAUUUUAAAAGCAAGCUCACCAUUGGUAAGGGGACCUUCCAAUUGCCAGCCUUUUCCUCCUUUUUCUGCUUAAGUGUUGUUUGAGGAUCAUCUGCACAUAUGAAAACCAGGGAUUGAACUAAAAUUUAAUGCAUGGAGUGGCAUGUUAAAAGGAUAAGAAACCUUUUUCCAUGUUGUCGUAUCCCAAUCUAAAAGAUGCAGGAGUAGCUUCAUCAUGAACCUUGUCGACCACCUAAUGGAGAUAUGAUGAUUCAUCAUGAACAACAAGCCUGCAAAGGACCAAACAGAAAGCAAAUUGCUCGUUUUUACUUCAGUUAAGGUAGUCAUCAGUUAAAUCAACAACACUGAACAAGCAAAUUCACCAUUACUGUCCUAUGAAUCCAACAUGCUUUUGGAUACAAUAACAUGUCUACAUAUACAAUGACAGUUAUCAGUAAUGGCAAACAUGAACCCUUUUUAAAAUGAUAGAAUGACCUAUUCAGGAUCACAAUGCUAGAAAAAAGUUGGUUACUUAAUUCGCCUAUCAGCCUCCAUUGGAACAAUUACACCUACUUGAUGAUUCAUCAUAAAUAGUAAGACUGGGAAGGACCAAACAGAAACGAAAUUGUUCAAUUUCACUUCGAUUAAGUUGGUAGUCUGUUAAAUCGACAACCCUGAAUAAGCAAAUUCUCCAUUUUUGUCCUAUAAAUCCGAAAUGUCUCUGGACAUAGUUAAUGUAUAAGUAUGCAAAGAUGGAAAUCAGUAACGCAAAACAUAGUCACAUUUUCGUAACAUGGUAAAAAUAGCUGUUCAGGAUCACAAUGCUACAAAAAGUUGAUUGCUUCAUAUGGCUAUUAGCUGCUGAUUGUAACUUCACAUUCUUGAUUGGCGUAUGUCAAGCAACAUAACUGCUCAUAAAGGAAGCUCUUUUAUUCAGUUGUAAUGUUAGUAUUAAAUUCCCCUCCCUCAUCAAUGGGCUUAGUAAAGCGAGUAUGAGGGCUCAAUGACUUGAACUAAAAACUAUAAAAGAAACAAUACAAACAUACCUACAUUGCUGAGACAAGUUUAGGAAAUCAAACUUCAAGGACGAUGCAAAGGAUGCUUACAUCUUCUUCAUCUGCACCUUCUCCGCAUAACGAUUUCUGCCAAACAUUCUUCCUUCAAUACCCAAUACCUGUUCAUAGGUGGCAAAAAACACACACAGACAUCGGUCCCCUUCACCAGUUCCCAAACAUAGGGGAAAAAAGAAUACAAAUCAGUAGCCAAGUCCAACCUCUGGGGUAAAAUUCGAUAGCUUGUGGACCUCCCGAACCUCCUGCGCUUCGGCGGAGAUCCUCUGCGGCUAUUCACGGAGUUUCACCAAUCAAAAACAUGAAUCAGAAGGGAAAACAAUAAAUCAUGCAUUAACAGAUCGAAUCGAAAGAUCAGGAGGAACUCUCAAUGGCGACGGGAGACGGAACGACGGUCAGAAACCCUAGCCGGGACAAGGCCGGGGAGGGACGGUUUAACGACGGGGAGAAGUAGGGAAAUGGCCGUUGUCCAAUCUGGUAAUCCGCGGAUCAGGUUAAUCUUAGAACAUUUUCAUGCUUCGCUAUCGUCUGAUCUAAAUCUGACGGUGAGUACGAGGGAGAACAGAUUGAAAUUGGUUCUCAUCGAUGGACCAUCAAUGGAUCCGACAAGUGGCAAUUCGUAAUCCACACGGCAGGUCGACAUGAUGCGAGAAUGGUGGAUUUGGGUCAGGCAUUAAUAUCAUAAAUGGACCCGACAUAAUUAAGUCCAGUGAUCAAUAAGUAGGUUGGGUUCGGUUCAACGAUUCGACCCAAUUGACUCGAAUUGACCCAAUCAGCGACCAUAUCAAGUGUAUUGAGCAUGUUAAGAUGACCAACACUUGAGAACUAAGAGAAGACUGGAGCAAACUUCAUGUGACUGCAUAAGGCCUGUAUAAUUCGUGGCAAAUAAUAUCCAUUAUGUUGCUUUCCGAAUGACCUAUUUCAUGUCGGUGGAAAUAAUAAUAGAAUGUACUUUUGGGUGAUCAAUAGGAGUAUGGAGGAAGAUUUGCAAUACUAUUUAUAUUAUUAUUUUUUUUCUUGUUAAUUUGAGUUACUUUGUAUUCUUCUGGCUGGAUUUAAUUCUGAUAUAAUGAUCGUGAUAUAAUGGUCAUCAAUUAUUAAUCAUCCAAUAUUAUAAGGUCAAUUUUAGUCGAUUAAUUAUAUAUUACCCUUAUAAUUAGAUGACUUUAUAAUUUAAGAUAUCUAGAUUUAUUUAUUCUAACGCAUUUUAAUUUAAGAAGAUUGGAUGAAGCAUGUGAUUCUCCACUAAAAUCCAGAGUCCAAGUUGGAAUUACUAGUAGAUGGUGAAGCUUUGGGGUCAGAGCAGCAAGUAACGUUGACACCAAGCUUCAUGUGACCGAGGAGAAUCCAACAACACGAAUAAAGCAGAAAACAGCGACGACAAGACUGAGAUCUCAUAUCGAUUGCAGCUGAGUUAAGCUUGUUGUCUUCUAUGUUCUAUCAAGUAUUUGAGGAAUUCCCACACAUGUCGAUCGUUCAGCUUCUCGUCUCCAAACACCUCUCUGUACUCCUUGGCCUUCGCUCUCAGUGGCUGACCUUGUUCUUCUACCAUGACCAACCUCAAGGUCGUCGCUAUCCCCUCUCCUGUGAACGAUCCAUCUUCCUCGUUUCGCGGCACCUCCACGCUAAUCUUCCGCUCGACCAGGUUUCUUGCAUUCAGACCUUGAUCGAACAUCAGCGGCAUGAGCACGACCGGGAGCCCGAGCGCGAGCCCCUCGACGAUCGAGUUCCAACCGGCGUGCGUCAGGAAUCCGCCCAUGGACGGGUGCGCAAGGAGCCGGGCUUGAGGGACCCAACCCAAGCACACCAGCCCGCGUCCCUGCGUCCGCUCCUCGAAUCCUUCCGGCAGCGCGGCGGGGCUGCCGUGCGAGUCUGCCGGUGCUCUCAGUGCCCAAACGAAGGGUAAUUGGGAUCCCUCCAGGCCGAGAGCAAUCUCAUGCACUUGAGAGCUUGUCAGCUUUACCUCGCUGCCGAAUGCAACGUAAACGACUGAUUCUGGCUUUUGUUUCGCUAGCCACUGGAAGAUGCUGCGCCACCUGCGGUCGCUCUCUUCAUCGGUGUCUGAUUCCUGAGGUGAGGGAGGGAAGAAUCCUACGGGAAUCACUGGUCUUUUGUGUAGCUUCCCGAGGAGGUGAAACCAAUCUGGUUCGAACUCUGGGCAGCUCCGAACAGAUAUCAAUUGACAAUCUUCCAACGUCCUACCGAACCGAUAAGCUUCGGACACACCGGAGGCGUCCGGCAGAACGCCGGGCUUGAAGAGCUCGCGAGCCUCGUAGGGCUUGAAAAAGACGGUGGACUCGAAAGGAACCCACUCAGGCAGCUCCAUGAACUGCUCAGGCG
rnacentral:lncRNA from 1 species